CUUUGAAACUCCGCAGGACUCCAGGAGGCUCCUGGUCUGGACCGGGCUGAAUAUGGGAGAGAGGCCUGGGCCGCCGCCUGCACACAACCUGUCCAUGACCCUGGAUGGCACAAGCACCUGACUCUGGGAGCACGGUCGGCCCCUCGCAAACAGAAGCCUGGCUCGUGGCACACAGGACAGUUCCCGGGAACCUGUGCGGCAGCUGUCGCCUUACAGAUACAGAGCUCACAGAUGUGGUCAUGUUUCCACCAAAGAGAGGAAGGUGGUGGAGGGAGAACCAACAAGCAGAACAGGAAGGAUCCUCUUUGAGAAUGAGAGCUGUCCGCAUGGUGCAGACGCGGUCCUGAGGCCUCCCGCGUACAAUGCCACUCAGCGUGUCCUUCCAUCUUUCCUCCCGAAAGAAGCUUCCGGUUCUAGGGAGUCCACGUCAUGCAUGCUGGCUUUCUGACUCACUGACCAAGAGUGAGAUGGAAGUCAUGUGUUCAGUUCCAGAUCUAGGCUGCAAGACAAACAGCAGCUUUCAUAUCUCAUAUUUGGAACCCAGAUACCAUGAAAUAAGAAAGCUGGUCUAUAUACUAGAGGAAAGGAGACACUGCAGAAGAGAACCAAGGGGCUCGAGUCUCCAGCCAACGUGAGACAUGUGAAACUUUCAUGGGCACUCCCGCGCCAGCUGAACUUAGAAAGUGUCUGCUAUAUUAGUGACACCAGCUGACACCACAUACAACUGAACAACCGGUCAGCAGAGCCCAUUCAACAUAUAAAAAAAACUGUGAGAAAUAAUCUGUGAAUGUUUUAAGUCACUAUGUUUUGAGAAAUUUGUGUGUAAUUUCUACAGAUUAAGGCAAAAAAAGCUGGAUGUUCCAGUUGGAAAUAUGAACUGCAGCAAAAUCAAACAAAAGGGACACUGCAGAAUAUUUUUUCACAAGUGGCAAGUUCUCCAGUGCUACCAGGCAUGAUCCAGCUAAGCCACUCAAAAAUGAAUGACACCUUGUGAAAGCCCAAUUACUGUGUCUGUCAUAUACAACGGUUGUUCAGAGGAUGAUUUGAAGGAUUCCAGUGAGAACAAUCAAUGUCAAGGAGUUGAAGCAGAUGACCUGUGAAAGUAUCAUAUACUUUCUGCUUCUUUUUCUCUCUACCUUGCCUGCACUAUUGUCUUUUCUCCACUCUGCUAAAUCCUAGCCAUGGUAUGAAUAUUUACGUCCCCCAAACUUCAUAGGUUAAAGUCUAAUCACUAGUGUGACAGUGUUAGUGGUAGGGACACUGAGAGGUGAUUAGAUCACGAGGGCACAGUUGUCAAUGCCUGUAUAAAAGCAGCCUCAGAGACCUGCCUUGACUCUUCCACUACACGAAGACACAGCAGAACAGCUACCAUCUAUGAAACAGGACACAGGCCCUCACCGGACAUCAAAUAUGCUAAGUGCCUCUUACAC